rnacentral:tRNA from 1 species
ACCAGAGCAGCACGAUUGGCCGUGCAAGCCCCUGUUAAGGGCGAGGUUGGGGGUUCGAGGCCCUCCUCUGGUGCCA